UGGGAGGCUUCCGGCUGUCAGUUCCUGUGGUCACACCCCGCCUGCCCAGGAUGUGAGCAGAGCAUCGUCAGGCAUUCGAGGGGCGGCGCGCACACCUCAGCGAGAACGCGCUUUUCAAUACAGCGCAUCCAGGUGACUUACUUAAGCGUUUUAAAACACUGUUAAAGCUCUCCUUGCAAGUUUACUCAGAUUUAUUAAAAAGAAAAGAAAAGCACAAGUUUCCCAGACUCGCUAGUAGGAGCGGUCGCCUAUUUCCCCUCCGAGAGAAGCGCCUGCGCGCCGUUUCCCGCCCGCCUGAGCACGCCCCGGCGUCCGGGCGCGGCCGCCACGGCAGCCCGCGCUCAGACCGACGGCUAGGCGCGCCGCCGCGCUGAGCUCCGUCUCCCCGUCCGUCAAGGGGGGAUAACGCAAUCGACCCGGAGACACGGCGACGGGCGCCCACUAAACGCUCGGCGCAGCUCUCCAGUGACGCGACCGAGGAAAACAAGCAACACCGGCCUCUUGACUUCGCUCCCCGCCAGUGAACCCCCCAGCCCUACGCAGGGACAGGAAGCACUAAUGCGCUCAAGAUCAGCAUGAGUUUGUGCUGUGCACCCUGAUCUGGAAUGUGUCACGGGGGGCAAUGGGGGCCUCUCCACUUGUGCAUGGCUGCCUGUCACACUCAGGCCGUCGAACUGCCCCCCGAAGCAGGAAGAGGGUCACCGUCUCAGAGCCAGGCUGUGUCGUCUUAGACCCGAGGGAAGGUCACCAGGGAGGACCCUUGCUCCCCGUCCAGUCUGCCCUCCAGAUGCUUUGAAGGGGACGGAGCCUAAAGUGUGAACUGAAUGAAUCUGUGAAUGAUGAAUGAAGGAGAAGGCCUGUGUGCACGUGGGUGGACACGCACACACUCACGCGCUCACGCACGUGUGCACACACAGACGCCCCCCCUUCCCCACGCACAGUUCUUGGGUGCUGAUGCAGAUGAAGGCAGCCAUGCCCCUGAUGUUGAAAGUGACGAGGAAAAGCCAAGUCGUGGAGGCGUCGGGUUCACCUGCUGAGGUUUCCCGGGAUCCCCUGGACGUCCCUGGCAGGGACACGUCUGGUGUCGCAGAGAAUCUGCACUCAGCAAGUGAAGGACGGGUACCCCGACCGACCUGUUAGAGUCGGGACUAGGAGUAUCUUGGAGAAGUAGAGGUGAUCUAACUAUGUAAACAAUUUUAUGUAAAUAUUUGUAGUCGCUUUUGAAGUUAACACCAAAAUAAAUC